AGAAAUAAUGGAUUAGUUAAAAUAGAGUAUUGUAUCAUUGAUUGAACCGCGCGUACAACGAAACCCGAUGACACAGAAGCACCACCUUCUUCUGGAUCUAUCCCAAAUCCCACUCUCCAAACCCUAGAAAAUUGAACUCUUCCCCUUUCCUUUCUCUCACGAUUCCUGUCAAAGAUUGUUCCUUUCACUCUUGCCCGGCGAUUUGAUUUCUGGGUUUCCGCAAUUUCGAUCUUAAACCUGAGGCUGUGGAAUUCGGAAUUCAGAUUGAAGUUAGUGGGGUUGAAGUAGGAUAGUUGCGUUGGCGCUGGCAAUGCCAUUGGUGUGGUCAGUGAGGAAACUUUCGGUGAUUUUUGUGAUACCGAAAAUACAGUAUGUCUUGGGCAGGCCCUGAGGAUAUUUACCUUUCCACUUCACUUGCCAGCUAUCUUGACAGUGAGCACUCUCUCUUUCUCUUACCCUCAUAUUGGUAUGCACUUCAAUUUUUAUUUUUAUUUUUGUAUGAAGGAUUGGACACUUGAUUUCAUUGUGCACUGUGUAAUUGGUAAUUUUCAAUGGCAAAAUGUUGUGGACUUGGUCGGAAACGAGUAAGUUGUAGAGUUUUUUUUUUUUUUUUUUUUAAUGUCCAACGUGUGUUUUUUAUUUUUGGUGGUAGCUGGUGAUGUAAUUUUCAAUAACCUCUAGUAUAACUAAAUUAAUAUGGGCUUGAUAUUCAACAGCCUCUUUUGUAAAUAAAUAUAGUGAGCGGGGAACAUGGAAAUAUAUAGCCAUGAUUUUAUGUGAUAUAAUAUAAUUGUAUGAGAUAGUAUAUGGAACAUUUACAUGUUUGGGUUGCAGAUUACUCUGGACCUAAAACUUUCCUCUAUUAUUUCUAUAUCUCUAAAUGCUCGUAAAGUGUAAUUUUUUUCUGUAAAACUGAAGGCAUAAGAAUAUGCUGUUUUGGUGAACUAUAGAUUCCAAUGAUAUUGUUUUUGAAUUGUGAUUUGUGAUUGAAUAGUUUUGAUGUUACUUUUGUGUUUAGCGUACCAGUAUCUCUGAGAAAGUUUUCAAUAUUAGUGAAAACCUGCUGGGUGUGGUAGAUUAAUUUGAGUGUGCUAAAUUAAUGUGAGUGUUCUUUGGAGGUGAAGCUGAUGUAUUUCUCAUAGACUUUUGUGGCCUUGCACUAAUUUCUGUUGUAGAGAAACUUCUUGUAUUGCUGAGAGAUGGUAGAAAGCUCAUGGGAACACUUCGCUCUUUUGAUCAAUUUGGUACCAGCAUGUCCUUAAAUUGUGUAAAGUUUUGACAUGAAAUAAGUUUACUUGCUAUAAUGUCUCCUCAAUAAUAUGCAGCCAAUGCAGUUCUUGAGGGUGCCUGUGAGAGGGUUAUUGUUGGCGAUCUGUAUUGUGACAUCCCUUUGGGUCUCUAUGUGAUCCGCGGGGAAAAUGUUGUUCUAAUUGGUGAGCUGGUAUGAUUACUAACUAUUUCUCCUUGCAUCUGUUAGUAUUUUCCAUUAAACAUUAUUAUUUGCAAUCACAUACAUUUCAACUUUUAGGAUUUGGAGAGGGAGGAACUUCCUGAACACAUGACUCGUGUUUCUACAGCAGAAAUCAAGAGGGUAGAUAUUCCAUAAUCGUUUCUUUUUUUCAAUAGAUAUUCCAUACUCGUGAAUCUUAUUAUUCUCAAUUCAAAAAAUAGCCUUUCUGAUUCAUGAUAUGUAUCCCGUUUCAACUAGUAAGGGAUAAUUGGUUGGGUCUAUAAUAAAAAUUAUUGAAUUCUGCCUACCAAAUUCUAGCUCAUUGUGUUUUGGUAAAAUGAUCCUUGAAGUAAUUUUCUUUCUGUUGAUGAUUGUGGCAUAAUAGCUUGAUUCAGAUAAGCCUUUCCGUACCCUUCUCUUCCAGGCCAUGUAUUCCUUGUCCUGGGUCUAAUUUUGAAACUGAUCUCAAUGAUACGAUGGUGUUUACGUUAGCUAUUGCAUCUAUUGUAAUGUUUAUUUGUUCUGAUUUUUAGUCAACAACUUCAUAGUUUGCAUUUUAUCUGAUAAAUAGUAGUUCUUUUAUGCGAAGAAAAGGAAAUCUCAGUAUUGUAAUUAUGCAGAAAAUUGCUCAAAUGUUUGAUUCUCAAUUUACAUACCCAACAUAACCAAACACCCUUACAAUAUAGAAAUCUCUAAGUAACAAAUGAUUUCUGAUCAAAAUCCCUGAUUUGAAAAAUUAAAAUCCAAGAACUAUCACUACAUAAAAACAUAGCACACUCCUUGUUAUAUAUAUAUAUAUACCUAUAUAUAUAUAUAUAUAUAUAUAUAUAUAUAUAUAUAUAUAUAUAUAUAUAUAUAUGGGUCAUUUGGUUUUCUGUUAUGAUUUGGAAAUAUUUGCUGAUGUAGUCUUGUAAUUUGCAUUUACUUAAGCAAUAAUUCAAUUAUGCAGACUCGUGAAUUUUUUUUUUUUUUUCUUGAUGAAACAUUGAUUGUGCAUUGUAGGCACAGAAAGCAGAAAGGGAGGCCUCAGAUCUGAAAGGGACUAUGAGGAAAAGAAUGGAAUUCCUUGACUUUGACUAGUCAACCCUGAUUCAUCCUUCACCUUCCCCGUCCGCAAAUAUUAUAGCGGCUGUUCUUCAUAUAUUUUGCUUUCUUUUUCUCUGCUAUUGUUGCCUUUCAUGGGAGGGUUCAAUACUCUUGAAUUUUGUUCUGUAAUAUUAGCCUCAGGAAUCAUUACUAUCAUUCAUUUGCUUUCAAAAAAUUCUCAAUUAAUAUCGGCUCCUCUAAUGGAUGCAUAUUAAAAUUAAAAUAUUAAAAUUAAAAUAUUAAAAUAUAAAUACAUUUGCAAUCACUAAGUAAAACAUUAAAAAUACACUCAGUUCCUUUUCUGUGUAAAAAAUUGUGUUAAAUCAACUCUAAAAAAAUAAAUACCAUUUUGAAUUAAAUGACAAAUAUGAGUUUGAUGCAAACUGAUAUAGUCCCGAGCAGUUCUAGUUGGAUGUUGAGUAUAACAUUCCAAAUUUUAGAUGUCACGAAAAUGUAAUAAAUAACUUUUUUCAAAAAUAAAAUCAUUACUAUGUCGAUUAAUGUAAUACAUAUUAUAAAAUAAUAUAAGGUAUUAUAUGAAUUGAGUUUCAUAAUUAUCAUCAUAUAAGGCUUAUGAGCAAAACUAUGAUGCUUCCAUUAGUAUUAUGUUCAAUUUUAGUCAGAACUCUAUAGGUAAGAUAUCUAUCCUUUUCUGCCUGUUUCAAAGAGGAAAGUGCAACAUUCGAAUUCUAACCCUUUUUAUCGUUUUUCAUGGAUGAAGAGAUCCAUCUCUUUCAUCGUCUCUUAAAAAUGAAGAGUUUGUUGUAAACCUGAUAUAGCGAUGAGCGACACUAAUAAGUCAUUGAAUGCAAGUUUGAUUGUGUAAGUUUGGAAAUAUUUUGGCUUCAGAUCUCUAAGUGUCCCUUUUCACCACUAAGCGUCCAAUUUUGCAAAUGCUUUGACACUGAGUGAUAGUAGGACACUAUUGAACGCCAUCUUGUAUUAUAAGUAUGAAACAGUUUAAUUCUAGGUCGUUGAGCGACAGAAGAGUGUUGUUGAACACCCGACUUUUUGAGAGAAGAAUGGCAUUAAGCGCCAUCUUUCACGAGAAGUCUGAUGCUCAAGUGGCACCUCUAAGCAAUGCUUGAUUUGUCCUUCACUUUUUGGAUAUUUGACAAUGAUUUAAAUGAACUUUAAGUAUGUUUGUAAGAAUUGUGACUACGUGUGUGAAAAUGAUGAUUUUGUUAUUGAAAUGUUUGAAAAUGUUGUUGAGAGAUUUUUUUCUAAAUGGUAGUGGUGUUUAGUGUAUGUUUUGACUAAUGAGAGUUUAGAAAGGAGGUAUCAUGAUAUUUUAUCGACUAUUAAACUCAUAUAAAGAGAAACGGUAGGGGAAGAGAAUGGUAAGAGGUCAUAACCACUCAACUAUUUAGUCCUAGGCAUAAAUGGGACUAACUUGUGAAUAGUAGGGUGAUAACCCCAGUGAUUAAGACAUGUAGAAAAUAUAAAUAUUAGUACAAGUACACGCCUAGAAUGAAACUUUAUAUCAAUGACAUGUAUCCAGUUUAGAUAAUUGAGUAUAGUAUCAUAUAUUUAUAUGCGUGUUUCUAUGAAUUAUUAUUUCAUCAAUGUUUAUAUGUGAUGUGAUUUAUUGUCUUCGGUACUUUUUUUUUUUUUGUUGCACACUAGUUUUUAUCAUGCUUUCUCUUAUUUUUAUGUUUUGUUGUUUUUUUUGGUGAUGAUUACCUCUUUGUGUGAGAGAUAAUGAGUUAAAUGUUAUACGCAUUCGGUGGAAGAUAAUGAUAGUUAUAUAGUUUCUACUAGAUGUUUUGUAUAGAAGUUUUCUUUCUUUUUUAAAAAUUCUAAUAUAUAUGGUUUUUAAUCAUAUGUUGUAUAUUAUCAAACUUUUUUUAAUGAUUUAUUUGUAGUUUUGCAUUAUCAUCAGAAUGAAGGUCACGGUGGAAAUAAAACCUACACCACGAGUAUGUGUUUAAUAUUUUUAUUAUAGUUAUAAAAGUAAAUUAAAAUAAUUUCACUAUUUUACAUCAUGUUUUUAGAUAUUUUCUCAGUAGUUAUUUUAGUUUAAAAGAAUAGUUAAAUUUUAAGAAAAAAUAUUUAGAAAAAAUUAUCACUUAAAAAUAAAAUAUUUACUUUGAUUAAAAAAUAGUUAAAAGAUAAAUUUGAAAAUAAAAUAUGUAUAUCAAAAGAAAAUCUCUUUACAUAUUAAUAUAAGUUUAUUGUAAAAUAAUUAAAUUACUUCGAUAAAAAUACUAAACAUAAAAAAUGAUUUAUAGAUUCUUAUAGAAAAUAAAUUAAAAAAAAAGAAUUCUAACAUGUACAAGGAAGGCAGUAAAUGAAAGAAAGUCGUUCCAAAGAAAAUAAUAUUCAGUUUUAUAAGAAUUUUCCGCGUAGAUUACUUUUAUAAUAUAAAGGCAAAUAAAAAUGUAUUGUAAAUAAAUAUUUAAACUCUUUUAGAAAUAAAAGUAAAUUCUAUUGUAAAUAAAUGCAUACAAAACUCUGCACUAAACCAUUUUAGAAAUCUUUUUUCUUCCCAUAAUUUCAAUAAGAAUGAAUUUUAACGAAAACGCAGUAUUGUUUUGAUUCAACAAACCUUCUGAAUCUAUCCCAAAAUCACAGUCUCGAAACCCUAGAAGAUCAAGCUCCCCUUUUUCUUUCUCUCGUUUCCCUUUCAAAAAAGGCUCCCUUUCCACUCCUAGUCGGCGAUUGGAUCUCUGGGCUUUCUUUCUUUCAGCGAUUUCGAUCUUAAACCCGAGGCUUUGAACUUGUGAAUUCAGAUUGAAGCGAUUGGGGGUGAAAAGAUUUGAGUUGGCGCUGGCAAUGCCAUUAUUGUGGUUAGUGAGGAGCUAUUCGGUGAUUUUUGAGAUACCGAAAACGCAAAAUGUCUUGGGCAGGCCCUGAGGAUAUUUACCUUUCCACUUCACUUGCUAGCUAUCUUGACAGUGAGCACUAUUCUUUUUUUUUUCCUCUCAUGUUGAUACACGCUUCAAAUUUAAUAAUUUAUGUGAAAGAUUGCAUUCUUGACAUAGUUAUGCCCAGCCUUUCUUUUUGGUUCUUGCUUUCAUCGUGUAAUGUGUAAAGGGUAAAUUUUUAAUGGCA
rnacentral:lncRNA from 1 species